GGUGGCCUAUUGGAUAGGGCAUCCGCCUCAGAUGUGGGAGGUUGUGGGUUCUAUCCCCGGCAGAGUCA